GUUUACAAAAUCAAAAUGAAGUUUGGGUUUGGCAGGUAUUCUGCGGAAUAUUCGAGUUUUGAUUUUUGUGAACCCGGCACAAGCUAAGAAUCCGUUCAGGAGCAUACGCCGGAAAACAAACCUCAUUCCUUCCUAUUCUGCGGAGAUUAAUAUUCCGAAAACUGCAUUUGUGUAACAAAUUUGCGAAUACCUAAUUUUUCAUUGUGCUAAAAUCUCACUCUAAAGCACAAUGUGUUAAAUACUGUGAUCAAUAGCCUUGUGCUAGCCAGAAGUAUUUUUUUGUUCAUUUACAAUGAGUAAUAUAUUUUUCAUUUUCAUCUUUUAUGCCAGAGUGAUCUUUUAAUGAAUUUUGGUAAAUGGAAUCUACCAGUGAUGAAUACCGUCCAUUAUUUGGCGGUAUAAUUACAGAUAAACCUUUAUUUGGUGUGACAAAUACAAGGGACAGAGUAAUUAAUGUAUUUGUUGGCUGUGUCACAGGACUUAUAUUUGUGGCCACAUUGUUAGCUGCUUUUUUUGCCAAAUCUCCAGUUCGGGGAUUAAAUGUUUAUUUUGUAUUCUGCCUCUGUCUUAUUUUUUUAUCACAUGUUUUGUUGAUUUACUGGUAUCGUCAAGGUGACCUUGACCCUAAAUUUAGAUUGUUGAUAUAUUAUAAUGCCUUCACCAUGAUUCUUUUAAGUACAUGUGCAUUGUCCUUUUUCUUCACUGAGAAGUGACAUUCAUUUGCUUCUAAGGAGUGAACAGGUCCACACAAAGUGAUAUUUCCUUCCAGAUCCUGUUAUAAAUUUGUGAAAUUUUGAUUAUGAGAAACAGCACAUGUCUGAGUGAUAUGCACACAUUCCUAUUUCCAUUUUAAAUCUGUGAUGCAAAUAAAUAUUUUGAACUGCUCAACCUAUCUACAAGGUUCCAAUUCUAUUAUUAUUAUUAUGCUAAUAUAUUUUUUUAGAAAAAAAGAUGUUAUUUGUGUAUGAUUUUUUUAUCAUGAAAAAUUUUAAUGUUGUUUAUUAAUUCAUAACGCAUCAAAGUUGUUUUAUAAAUGCAUAAAACCAACAUUUCAUAUACUUUCAAAUGUAUCUAAACAUAUAAUUAAUGGAAAUAAAAAGAUGGUUAAAAUGUGUAAAUACAUUUAUUUGAGAAACUUCUACCCUUAAAAUAAAUUCAAAUAAAGGCCAGAAUGUUUCUGUUCUAUGUCAUUACUGCUGGUUUAGAAUAGAAAAUCAUUUGCUUUGUAAAAACAAAAUAAUUAAUUUUGUCAGAAACUAACAUAUAAUUAAUUUAAACAGAAUUUCUCUCUCUCUUUUUUUUUCAUAAGUUAAUUUCUAUUUUAAGACAAGAAUUGUUAUAGAAAGUAUGCCAUGACAUUUUUAUAUUUGUAGCAUAAUGUGCAAUUAUUUUCGGUUCCUUGUAUUCAGUGUAUCUUAUUUAUCAGUACAAAACAUACCAAAUGAAGUAUUUAUUGAGAAAUGGAAGUUUUUCUUACAAUAUAUGCAUGAAAAUAUGUACACAUAUAAAAUGCAGUUACAGUUUGUAUAUUAUUUCUGAAAUUUUAACAAAAAAAAUAUUGUCUAUUUCUAGAUAAAAAUUACCAUCUUGAAGAUGAAAUAGUAGAAAAACUACAAUUUUUUGGCUAUUUUAUAAAAAUAUUUAGAAGUAAGAGAAUCUAUGACACUUAUAAAUUCUGUAUAAAGCAUUAUUUGUUGUACAAAUCUUGUAAACAUGUAUUAUGAUUGUUUUAAUAAAUGCUUAAGCUGUAUUCUUGAGUACUGUUCUCUCAUUUCAUACUUUUUACAUUACAAAAGUAUAAAAGUCGCAUGAACCCACAAUAAUAUCUGUUUGGAAGCUCGCGAUUUUAUAUUUGUACUUCAACAUGUGAUAAAAAUAUGGUCAAGAAACGAUACAAUUCUUGUCAUCGUGUUUCCGCCUUCUUCGAAGGCUUUUUCCACCUGAAGACUGCAGAGUUCCAGAUCUCUGUCUGGCGACUGCUAAAGUAUCAUUGCUGACAUAUGAUAUCCUUACACCUCCAUAUGCUCGUCGUGGUGGUAAUUCGUAAGGAUCAUCAUCGUCGGAACUUGAGCUUGAGCAUGUACUGCAACGAUCAUCAUCGUAUCUGGAACUUGAAGCUUGAGCAGUUGUCAUUCUUUGAAAACUAGAUUCCAAUUCUGAUCGAUCCCCAUAACUUCUGCUUCUCAUUACAGCAGAGUUUCUUUUGUUCUGUGGUUGUGGCAUUUGCUGACUCUUAGUAAAUGUGUCCUCACUUCCUGCACAGGAGGAGGAGGAGGAUCUCUCAACUUUUUGUGACAGUGUUCUUUGUUCUUCAUCAUCACUAGAAGGUGGCAGGUUUGCUGUGGAAGGGCUAAAUCGGACAAUGAGUUUCUUUGAGACAGGCCCAUUGCUGCUGUUUAAAUCAGCCUUAGUUGGUGUUUCUGGAGGUGUUGUAGACCCUGUGUCUCUGGUGAGAUCUGGCAUAGAGAAAUGGGCAGUUGUGCGGCGAUGAUGAUACCGACUGUGAUCCUUCCGUUGUUCCUCUAUUUCUUCAACAACCUG